rnacentral:rRNA from 1 species
AUAAUCCCUCCGGGGUAAAGGCUUCGGCUGUUUUUAGAUGAGCCCGCGCUAGAUUAGGUUGUUGGUGGGGUAAAAGCCUACCAAGCCUGCUAUCUAUAGCUGGUCUGAGAGGAUGAUCAGCCACACUGGGACUGAGACACGGCCCAGACUCCUACGGGAGGCAGCAGUGGGGAAUAUUGGACAAUGGGGGAAACCCUGAUCCAGCAAUGCCGCGUGAGUGAU